rnacentral:lncRNA from 1 species
UCUCAAAUGUGCAGCUUGAAGUCUUUCUCUCCUAUCACUAGGCUCAAGGCUGAGUGUCUUCCAUAUUGAUCAGGAGCCUCUGCAGCAGGCACACGCAGGACGCUGUGCUGUGCUGUGCAUGGUGAGAAGUGUGACUCACUGCUGGUGAGAAUUAUUCAGCAGACAAAAUGAACUGGGAGGAAGUGAGUGAUCUUUACCUCUUAGGCGAAAGGAUGCAAUUAUCAAGGAAACCAAUGCACAGAGCACAAAGCACCAAUCAUGUAUUUGGCUCUCCUUGGUGUGUUUCGUGGUGCAUGGUGAGGGGUGCACAGAUCUCCAGGGUUUGCAGUCCUGCUGGGAGAGGAGAGUCACAGACAUAAGUCAUUCAGUGGCAACCCAUGGCUGAUGGCUUGCAGGAGGAAGCCAAGCCACUGCUUGAGGGAGAAAGGCAUUGUGUGUGAGAUUCUUCUAGAAGGU